AAAGAUUAAGCCAUGCAUGUCUAAGUAUAAGCAAUUAUACCGUGAAACUGCGAAUGGCUCAUUAAAUCAGUUAUCGUUUAUUUGAUAGUACCUCAUUACUUGGAUAACCGUGGUAAUUCUAGAGCUAAUACAUGCUGAAAACCCCAACUUCGGAAGGGGUGUAUUUAUUAGAUAAAAAACCAAUGCCCUUCGGGGCUUCUUGGUGAUUCAUGAUAACUUUACGGAUCGCAUGGCCUUGCGCCGGCGACGGUUCAUUCAAAUUUCUGCCCUAUCAACUUUCGAUGGUAAGGUAUUGGCUUACCAUGGUUUCAACGGGUAACGGGGAAU
rnacentral:rRNA from 1 species